AUGAUGUAAACUCUCAUUUUGUGACAGGGGCACUUUAAAGUACUAUUACCACAUAUGGUUUGUUUCAAAAUUAUAUUAAAAUACAUAAGAUAAUAUUACAUAUAAUACAAUUUAUACAUGAAUGUUUGAAUCAACAUCAGUUUGUCUCUCAUUGACCCAACAGUUUUAUUGUUUGCGUGACAGUGAGAGGCAGCUUGACAUGCAAGUCCACUCCAAAAGAAGCCUUCUCUAAAAAUAUCAUGGCAUUUCGUUGCACCUUGUAAUCGUAGUUGUAUGUGUAAUGUACACAGAACAACAACAUCAGGGCAUCUAGAAGCUUGUCUUCCCGCGACACAGCACACAGCAAUUUCCCGUCUCCAACAACAUACAUGACUGUCGUGUCAAACAGAGAUUCGCCACACAGAAGAAUUGCAGGUGACACUGCCUGCUUCAGCUCUUCGUCGACACUGUCAGUUGGCU